CCUUACGGUAAUGAAAAAUAGCCCCAUGUACGGACACCUGGGGGCCACAGUGUGAACAGCACCUCCCUCGUGGUCCUCAAGGGGGCGACAACGAGCCGGACCCGAACAUAUUUAAGCUGGCAGCGGAUCGCCUCGCUCUCUUUCCCCGCCGUUGCUGCGCAGAGGAGAAGUCACGAGGGAGGCCCGAGAUGUUCCUCAUGAUGAAAAGUAACCCAACGUUGCAUCGCUUGAUCGUCAUCACGGGCUGCUCGUAUCAAAUGCUGUUUGGACACCUGUCGGAGCCGGAUGGAGGCUGAGGGCUCUGCCGGUCAUUACGCUGCUGUUGUGACACCACAAUCUGCCAUGGCAGUAUGAUAACUAAAGGAAAUAAGUCCCAGAGAGGAGCCCGGACAAGAGGACGGCUGCCAUCUGCUUGUGCGAGAAGUAUGUUACCCGUUUCUCUCUGCAGCGACUCGUGCUGGGGUUAAACCGUGUCGCUCGCUGACAAAGCUGCAUCUUUGACAGCCUGGGCUCUCUGAUGUGAGAGACCCCGGGUUUUAUUAAUUCAGAUGCAAUAUUAAAUGUCCCUGCGCUUUCUGCUCGCCUCUUUUCCAUGGCGUCUCGGAUUGAAUGUGGGAGGAUAAACUAAAUAUUACACGUUUGUAAAAUACUGUGAGUGAGCUGGAUGUAAUGGUGUUUUCCCUCUGACUUCUUCAAGGCUUCCAGAGGCUUAAAGAGUCGACCCAUCAGAAGAGAUUUUCUUCUCAGCUGAUACUUUGCAGGUGAGCCAUUGUUCGGUUGGGAGACUUAGCCCGCCGCGGGUGCAUCAGCAAAGGCAAACGGAAGUCUUUACUUAGUCAAUAGCUGGAGGCACAGCAAAUUUUAACUUUCAGUGAUGCAUCUUAUAAUUUUCUAAUUUGUCUUGCAGGUCAAAGCGGCAAACGCCUGGAUGAAAGCAGACCGGUGGAACUGCUGGCUUCAUUUUUCUGAAAUGUGCCAUUGGCAUAAUGAUUCCACACCGUAUGAGUCGCUGCAAUGUGAAAAUUGAACUACAUUUUGUCUGUUUAUAAAAACAAGAUUAAAGACUUAAGCAGUCUGUGCUGAUAUCAUUACUAAACCUGUGUUUGAACAUUUUGAUAUAAUUGAUUCUUGAGCCUCAGCUGGAAGAGA
ensembl:lncRNA